GAUGAACGCUGGCGGCGUGCUUAACACAUGCAAGUCGAACGGAAAGGCUCCUGCUUGCAGGGGUACUCGAGUGGCGAACGGGUGAGUAACACGUGGGUGAUCUGCCCUGCACUUCGGGAUAAGCCUGGGAAACUGGGUCUAAUACCGGAUAGGACGAUGGUUUGGAUGCCAUUGUGGAAAGUUUUUUCGGUGUGGGAUGAGCUCGCGGCCUAUCAGCUUGUUGGUGGGGUAAUGGCCUACCAAGGCGUCGACGGGUAGCCGGCCCGAGAGGGUGUACGGCCACAUUGGGACUGAGGUACGGCCCAGACUCCUACGGGAGGCAGCAGUGGGGAAUAUUGCACAAUGGGCGCAAGCCUGAUGCAGCGACGCCGCGUGGGGGAUGACGGCCUUCGGGUUGUAAACUCCUUUCGCUAGGGACGAAGCGCAAGUGACGGUACCUGGAGAAGAAGCACCGGCUAACUACGUG
rnacentral:rRNA from 1 species